rnacentral:rRNA from 1 species
UACGUAGGGGGCAAGCGUUGUCCGGAUUUAUUGGGCGUAAAGAGCGUGUAGGCGGCCAGGGAGGUCCGUUGUGAAAACUCGAGGCUCAACCUCGAGACGCCGAUGGAAACCCCCUGGCUAGAGUCCGGAAGAGGAGAGUGGAAUCCCUGGUGUAGCGGUGAAAUGCGCAGAUAUCAGGAAGAACACCCGUGGCUAAGGCGGCUCUCUAGUACGGUACUGACGCUGAGACGCGAAAGCGUGGGGAGCGAACAGG